rnacentral:rRNA from 1 species
CGAUGGUACUUUGUUUGAUUAGCUUCUUUUCUGGAAGCUGUUUCUGCACUUUACUGGGUGGAGACGUGUUUCCAGGACUUUUACUUUGAGAAAAUUAGAGUGUUCAAAGCAGGCAUUUGCUUGAAUACAUUAGCAUGGAAUAAUAGAAUAGGACUUUGGUUCUAUUUUGUUGGUUUCUAGGACUAAAGUAAUGAUUAAUAGGGACAGUUGGGGGCAUUAGUAUUUCAUUGU